AUCGCCUCUCUGGGUCCUGCCCCAGUUCCUAGGCGACACAUCGACGUCCCGCCCGAGUACCAGCCUCGGCGAGCAGAAGUCCGACGUCCCUGGAACUACCGCUGGCACGGCACUACCUGCCAGGACACGUCAGCGUUUACGCCGCUGAACGUAGACGCGCGGAGGCUGGCUACAGCCAGUCACCGUCCCGUCCAGCCCGUCCAGAGAACUAAGCUGGGCCGGCGCGCACCGGGAGCGCCAGCCGGCACGAGCCCCGCUCUGCCGGAGCGCGACAGCUCCUCAGCGACCGUUCCUUCGUCACGUCGGCCGGGGCAUCGGUGACGCCCGACACCAGCGACGACUGAAGACGACCAGAUCGCAUCGACGGACCACAGACCGGAGGACGCCGACAUCCACACCGAACAGAACCGGCAAUCGUCCGGGAGAAUCCGAGGUGCCCAGCUGUCGGAUCGUCAUGCAAUACGUGCAGUCGGUGCAGUACUUCUGGACGGAGCGUUGAGGGAACAGUCCAGUCCAGUUCUUUAACAGAGGGCUGGUCGGGAUCCGAAGACUCAGGAGAAGGAUGAUGCGCCCGGUGUGCGAGAGCUCGGGCGGCAUCGUGGGCGGCUUCAUUUCCUGCCAGACCCGAGUGGCCAGGGGCCCAGAUGAUCUGGACACGGCGUUGCCUAGGGGGAGGAGUGC